CACGCAGUUAGCCGGUGCUUAUUCUUCCGGUACCGUCAUCCCCCGACUGUAUUAGAGCCAAGGAUUUCUUUCCGGACAAAAGUGCUUUACAACCCGAAGGCCUUCUUCACACACGCGGCAUUGCUGGAUCAGGCUUUCGCCCAUUGUCCAAAAUUCCCCA
rnacentral:rRNA from 1 species